rnacentral:rRNA from 1 species
UACGUAGGGUGCGAGCGUUAAUCGGAAUUACUGGGCGUAAAGCGUGCGCAGGCGGUUCGUUAAGUCAGCUGUGAAAGCCCCGGGCUUAACCUGGGAAUGGCGGUUGAAACUGGCGAACUUGAAUCUGGCAGAGGGGGGUGGAAUUCCGACGUGUAGCAGUGAAAUGCGUAGAGAUGUGGAGGAACACCGAUGGCGAAGGCAGCCCCCUGGGCUGAGAUUGACGCUCAGGCACGAAAGCGUGGGGAGCAAACAGG